UUGAACGCUGGCGGCAUGCUUUACACAUGCAAGUCGAACGGCAGCACGGGGGCAACCCUGGUGGCGAGUGGCGAACGGGUGAGUAAUAUAUCGGAACAUAUCCGGAAGUGGGGGAUAACGUAGCGAAAGUUACGCUAAUACCGCAUAUGCCCUGAGGGGGAAAGGGGGGGAUCGCAAGACCUCUCGCUUUCGGAGUGGCCGAUAUCGGAUUAGCUAGUUGGUGAGGUAAAGGCUCACCAAGGCGACGAUCCGUAGCUGGUCUGAGAGGACGACCAGCCACACUGGAACUGAGACACGGUCCAGACUCCUACGGGAGGCAGCAGUGGGGAAUUUUGGACAAUGGGCGCAAGCCUGAUCCAGCCAUGCCGCGUGAGUGAAGGAGGCCUUCGGGUUGUAAAGCUCUUUCAGCAGGAACGAAACGGUGGCCACUAAUACUGGCUACUAAUGACGGUACCUGAAGAAGAAGCACCGGCUAACUACGU
rnacentral:rRNA from 1 species